CGGCUCAUUACACUUUGUGACCAGAAACGCGGCGGCGGCGUGUUGGACUGAUGUUUACUGGAGACGUUUCCUCUCAGCUGGAGACGGCAGCACAGCGGCUGCGGCGGCGGCGAACACAGAGACACACUGACACACAAACUCCCACACAGAGAGGCACGAGCAGCAGAUACACACUCUCCUCUCCGUCUCUCUCUGCGUCUCUCCCACACACACACACACACACACACACACACACACACACACACACACACACACACACACACACAAACACAUUCAUGACUACCAAACUGAAUAAGCUCAGUAUGAAGACGUGUGUGUGGGGGGGUGUUGCCAUGGAGACGACAGGUCUUUAGGAGAGGAGAUGGACACAGGAAGGAAGGAGGAAUUUUAAGCACCCUGCUCUUUCCCCUUUGGGUGUCCCUCCUGUUUGCCAGACAAAAGAGAUGGAUGAAAAAAAAAAAAAGGAAAUGGUGAUAGAAAGCAGGUGCUCUGACCGGAGCUUCCUCUCUCCCCCCCACACACACGCACACACCUUCCUCUCCUCUCAUCUCCUUUUCAUCCCUUUAUAUUCCCUCCCUCCCGCUCAUCCUCUCAUCUCUGCCUCUCAUCUCUCCUCUCGGCUCCGCAUCUCUUCCCCGAAGACGCCGGAUAAAUAAGAGUAGAUGCCAAA